ACUACGGGUGGCAGCAGUGAGGAAUAUUGGUCAAUGGGCGCGAGCCUGAACCAGCCAAGUAGCGUGAAGGAUGACUGCCCUACGGGGUGUAAACUUCUUUUAUAAAGGAAUAAAGUGAGGCACGUGUGCCGUUUUGUAUGUACUUUAUGAAUAAGGAUCGGCUAACUCCGUGACAGCAGCCGCGGUAAUACGGAGGAUCCGAGCGUUAGCCGGAUUUAUUUGGGUUAAAGGGAGCGUAUAUGGGUUGUUAAGUCAGUUGUGAAAGUUUGAGGCUCAACCGUAAAAUUGCAAUUGAUACUGGCAGUCUUGAGUACAGUUGAGGUAGGCGGAAUUCGUGGUGUAGCGGUGAAAUGCUUAGAUAUCACGAAGAACUCCUAUUGCGAAGGCAGCUUAUUAAACUGCCACUGACAUUGAUGCUCGAAAGUGUGGGUAUCAAACAGGAUUAGAUACCCUGGUAGUC
rnacentral:rRNA from 1 species